UUGCCUAUGGUGUAGUGGUAACGCGCUUGCUUGUGGAGCAAGAGUCGCGGGUCCGAUUCCCGCUAGGCAACCCA
rnacentral:tRNA from 1 species